rnacentral:rRNA from 1 species
AGGACUUUUUGGUUUUGUAAUUGGAAUGAGUUAAGUAUAAACCCCUUUACAAGUAUCAAUUGGAGGGCAAGUCUGGUGCCAGCAGCCGCGGUAAUUCCAGCUCCAAUAGCGUAUAUUAAAGUUGUUGCAGUUAAAAAGCUCGUAGUUGGAUUUCUGUUAAUAAUUUAUAUAAAAUAUUUUGAUGAAUAUUUAUAUAAUAUUAACAUAAUUCAUAUUACUAUAUAUUUUAGUAUAUGAAAUUUUACUUUGAGAAAAUUAGAGUGCUUAAAGCAGGCAUAUGCCUUGAAUACUCCAGCAUGGAAUAAUAUUAAAGAUUUUUAUCUUUCUUAUUGGUUCUAAGAUAAGAAUAAUGAUUAAUAGGGACAGUUGGGGGCAUUUGUAUUUAACAGUCAGAGGUGAAAUUCUUAGAUUUGUUAAAGACAAACUAAUGCGAAAGCAUUUGCCAAGGAUGUUUUCAUUAAUCAAGAACGAAAGUUAGGGGAUCGAAGACGAUCAGAUACCGUCGUAGUCUUAACCAUAAACU